GCCAGUGUCCACAACUUAUCGAUUGUUCAGGCAAAGAAAGCGCCUCGUUCGCCCCCGAAAGAGAGGGUCUGUAGCUCAGUUGGUUAGAGCACCGUCUUGAUAAGGCGGGGGUCGUUGGUUCGAAUCCAACCAGACCCACCAAGUUUUUUUGGUUUGUUUGGGAAGCUCGAGACACGACAGGAAAAGGGGGCUGUAGCUCAGCUGGGAGAGCGGCGGCUUUGCAAGCCGUAGGUCGUCGGUUCGAUCCCGACCAGCUCCACCACUGCGGGUGCGCCACUGUGGUA
rnacentral:tRNA from 1 species